UACGUAGGGUGCAAGCGUUAAUCGGAAUUACUGGGCGUAAAGCGUGCGCAGGCGGUUUGUAAGUCUGUCGUGAAAUCCCCGGGCUCAACCUGGGAAUUGCGAUGGAGACUGCAAGGCUAGAAUCUGGCAGAGGGGGGUAGAAUUCCACGUGUAGCAGUGAAAUGCGUAGAGAUGUGGAGGAACACCGAUGGCGAAGGCAGCCCCCUGGGUCAAGAUUGGACGCUCAU
rnacentral:rRNA from 1 species